AGCGCAAUUGCCUCUCUCUGUCUCUGUCUCUCUCUGCAAAGGCAGAGGAGGCUGGGAGCCACCGGGGAAGGCUCAAAGAGCCGCAUGCGGCUCCGGAGCCGCAGGUUGCCGACCUGUGUUAGAGGCUUCUAUAUAAUCUGCAACCUACAAUUGUUCAAAUAACCCACUGGUCUAGCUCCUGCUUUAGAUUAAGAAUUGAAGGUCAAUUUAAAUACCCUUCAGUUUAUCAACUAGUAACAGGAAAAUUUCCACUCUAAUAUAUUUGUCUUUGGAUUUUUAUUAAACAUAAAAUCCAAACAUCAUUUCACAGGGAGGGGAGUGUUAUUUACUUCUAAGCAUAUUUGAAAUGGCCAGGGCUUGUGAUUUAUUUUUUCCAGGUCCUAUACACUCAUGAAAGUCCAAAUCUCUCACAAUAUAUUGCUUCUUAGGCUGAUUAAAUGGGACAUUUCUUUGUGAAAAUAAAGCAGGGAAGCAGGAAUUUUGGUCACUUUGUAUAUUUUCAGGAGAUAGAUUUUUUUUCUAGAAGAGAUAAACAUUAAUUAAGAACCUGUCUUUAUUUUUAUAAUUAAAGGUGACCUUACAUAAUCCUUCCUUUUCCUAUUUUCUCUACAACAAGAAUCCCAUGAGGAUGAGAUGGAUUGAGAAAGAGGAACUGAUUCAAAAUCAUUAUUUCAAAGGUUUGGUGGGAGGAUCAUGAAUCACGUAAGCAAUAAAGAACAUGAUACUUGACUAGGAGAAGAACUCUGACUAAAUACUUUAAAUGUUUUGGUAAAUUUAUUUAUUUAUCUGCAUUCCAUAAUGUAUCUUUUCUUUUAUAUUUAUGACAAAGUUGCAAACAUUAUUAACAAAACAUCAUUAAUAAAGUCUUAUUAACAAACUAGUAAUAGCAAGUAAAAUGCUCCUGCAUUUUAAAAUAAUUUCUCAUUAAAUUACAGGAAAGAAAUUUUGUUGUGGAAAUUGUUGGAGAAGUUCUCAUUUCUCUGGAAAAACCUCUAAAAAUAAUCUUUUUUUUUUUUGUCCCCAAACUCAAUGGAGAAUUUGGAAGGAUAAUUUUUGCCUAGGUCUACAAAUAAACCAACUCCACCCAUUCUUACUUAUAACUUAGCAGCUUGUUUAGAAGUACUUGUUAUUUGGUAUACUUCUGCAAAAAAACUCAUAGAAAAAUAUUUAGGCAAGGUUCUAUAUUGUCUUACUAGAAAAAGGACUAAAUACACAACUAGCAAUUUUUUUAGAUUGUUUCUAUGUUGCUAUGGAAUUUUCUAGCUUGUGUGGCCUUUUCUGUAGGCUUCCACUUCGCAAUUAAAAUAUAUAUUUUUUUCCUGCUUCAGAAGGGGUCUGAGGUAAAAGAGGGAGAUCCUCAUCCAGUAUAGGAUUUCAAUGAAAAACUCAAAUAAUUUUGCUUUGUAUAACACAUUGUAUCCGCUGAAGUAAUAAAUUUCUUAUAAAAAACUGAAUUGGGAGUCAAACUUGACAAUUAAGUAGAAGGGAGAGAGAGAGGAAAGAAAAAGAAAAAAGAAAGAAAGAAAAAAUGUAGAUCCCAUAAUGGUCUUUUGAACUACAAUUUACAGUAAAAAUAGUGAAAUAGAAUAUAAUUAUGUCCUGCUAAAGGUGAAAUGAGAUCGAUCAUAAUCCUUUAGAAAGUACAUUUGAAUCCAUUUGUAAAAUUUUAAAUGUUGUGGUCAAUAUGUACCAGGACACUAUGAUAGAAAAUAACUUAGAUAUUUUAUUUAAAGAGAAACUAAUAUAAAACCAAUUAAGGCAAAGAUUGCAAAAGAUAAAAGAAAUGGUUUUUCCAGCAGUAAUGUAUGCCAGUGAAAGCUGUUCCCUGAAAAAAAAAAGAGGCAAAGAAGAGAUUUCUUUGAAUUAUAGUUUUGGCAACAGUUACAUUAUGGACUUCAAACACAAUCAAGCAGUUGGUAUUGGGAGAAAUAAAGAUUGACUUUUCCCUUGAGGUGAUCAUUAGCAAGCAGAACUCACAUAAUUCAGGCAUGUGAUCCAAACUAAAAGAAAAAAAAUGCUUGACAAGGUUGAAGGAAAGUCAAUUGAUCAGGGACGGAUGGAACUAUUGAUCCCUGACAGAAGAGAUCAGGUAUGUCUCUCGAAGAGUGGCAAAUUAUUAGUAAGGACAGGUCAGGAUGGACAAUAUUUUUCUGUACAGUCAGUGUUAUAUCUGAUUCAGUGAUAUAUAACUUAACUAAGCUUCAUAAUUUCUGUGCAAAGUUUUCUGUACUGGGGAAGUACUUUGUAUUUGAGAAGUGUGUAAAGAAGUAAUAUUGCUCCCCAAUAGUCAGGGACAGCUAGAUUUGGUUUAAUUUGAAACAUAUUUAAAUGAUGCAUAUUAUAUGAUUUCUAUUAUUUACUUAUGCUUAGGUAAUUUUUUUUUCCAAUUAAACUGCAGUUUGGACACAGUUUCUAGCUCCAAGGCAUGAUACAACUUUAGAGACUUGGGUUAUAGAUUACUGCUGCGAACAUUUUGAAUCCAUGUCCUCUGGCCCUACUGCUGGCUGUGGAAUUCUGGGAGUUGAAAUCCACAUGCCUUAAAAUUGUCAAGGUUGAGAAACACUGGCUAAUCUCUUCUUAAAAACCUCCACAACUUCUGAAGGCAAGUUGUUCCUCGUGACAGCAGAGGUUUUCAUGAAUCAGCUACAGGGAAUUUCAGGAAGUAUUCAUCUUACUUGAUUGGUACAAAAAACAGCGAUAAAGAGAUAAUAAAUUGUAUGAAGAAAUGGCAAUGAAAUAAAGAAAAAUGCAGAAAAUGUGAAGCAUCAUUAAACAGGUAUGUGGCCUGGGGAGAUCCAAGCUAAGUAAAUCCAGCAGAAGAAAUUAUUCAUAAUUAAAAUACAGUAAUAAACUCUGCAGGUUUGCACCAUAAUUCCCAGAUGGCUUCUAUAUAUCUUAAAGACCAGUCAGAAAUUUUCAGUCUUACAAGAAAUCCUAAAAUGUUUUAGCAUAUUUAGUUCAGUUUUAAAAGAAAGAGACAUUUAUCACAAGAACUGUAUGUAUACAUUUUUACCAUUAUAAAUUAUUUCAGUCCCUCAGGGCUGAUUAUGCCAAUAUCCUUUUGUAUUUAAAACCAUGGUGAGAAAGUGCCAGAAAUCUAGUUUUUUGUUGAAAUUGCUUUCACAAUGACUUGUGAAACAUGACUGAUUAUAGGAAUUGUUGUUCUGUUUUGGAAAUAACACAAGAAAAGAUAAAAAAUGCAGAUAGUAUGAAGUAAAAACAGGAGAAGGAAACUAGCUGGGCAAUCUUGUGCUCCUGUAGUGAAGAAAAAAUAUGUAUCUAAUAAAUAAAUUUCACCUUUCUGGUACCUUUCAGUCCUUUUGGACUACUUAUCCUGGCAGAAUUGGCUGUGAAUAAUGAGAAUUGAAAGAAUACAAAAGAUUGAUGAGACUUAAAACUCAACACAUAAUAAGAGCACCAGUUGGGAAAGCUGAAUUAAUUAACUGGUGAAUAUACUGAAUUGCUGCUAGUAUGCAGCUCUUAAACUAUACCAGGUAAAAUUUCAGCAGCCAGAGAUCAUCAUGGGCAGUGGUUGAAAAUCAUUUUUUCUAUUUGCAAAGACCUAGAAUAGUAUAUUAGUAAUGCAAAAUGGGUAGAGCCGCAUCACAACUCACAGGGAUGAUGUUUUCCAAACAUUGGAGGGACAGGGUGAGGUUGGAUUCCUCUCUCCCAUUUCAUGAAAUAGUGUCAUAGAGUCAAAUUGUAAUAGGAUACUUCCCAUUGAUAUUUGCCUGUAAAAUAUUGGAUUUCAAUAUGGGGUGUAAGGGAGUUCUGGGGAAUGCAAAAAAUCAAAAACAAUAAAAACUUAUAAUGCUUUUUUAAAA